CGUAAGUUUAAUAUUUUCGUUGGAAAAAAUCGAAUGCAAACCAUAUAAACCAAAAUGGAAAGAGAUCAGAGUAAGAAGAAGACUGACACCACCGCAGCCGGGGACGAGAGCACGGCCAAGAGGGAGUGAGCAAGUGUCGACAAGAUGAACGAUGAGAGGUGUGGCUCUUCCUUGGUCCCAUGGUGUUAUCUCUUCUUCCCAACAUUUCUCCCAUCCACCUGCAAUAUAUACAUUUUAUAUUAUAUAUUACGUACGGUAAAAAUAUAAAUGCUUAAAUAACUUUCUGGUCUAUAUAUGGAUAAUUAAAUUCACAAAAAUGAUAUAAGUCAAUCACCAUUACGAAUUGAAUUUCUGAUGAGUAUAAAAUUCGUUAAACUUAACAAUUAAUAUACAUGAACUUUGUAUAUUCAGAAAGCUGUUGAUUUUGGUUAUAACUAAUUGUAAACUCAUUGCUAUAUAUGGACAGAAGACCUAUAUAAAUCUCUGUUAAUUGUGAAAAAAAAAAAGUAUCAUCAAGGGAAGAAUGAAUAUGAAUCACCGACCUUCUUCAACAGUUUUGUGCAGGAAAGUAGCAACUUCUUCAGGAGUAGGAAUAACGUUUCCUCCACCGUUGCUCUGACCUUGACGUUCUUCAGCCAUUUCUAGAGGUUCUC
rnacentral:lncRNA from 1 species